GUGCAAGUGGCUUAACGGCGAAGAGCAUUCCUGCUCGGUCAGCAGAUGGUGCGGGUUCGAAUCCCGCCUGGCGAU
rnacentral:tRNA from 1 species